CAGGCCGGCCGCAUGGCGGCGCUCCUGGGCUUCGAGUGGACGGACCUGUCCAGCUGGCAGAGGCUGGUGACCCUGCUCAAUCGACCGACGGAUCCGGCCAGCCUAGCGGUCUUCCGGGUUCUCUUUGCGUUCUUGAUGGUGCUGGACAUUCCCCAGGAGCGGGGGCUCAGCUCACUGGAUCGCAAAUACCUGGAUGGACUGGACGUUUGCCGCUUCCCCUUGCUGGAUACCUUGCGCCCACUGCCACUUGACUGGAUGUAUCUUGUCUACACCAUCAUGUUUCUGGGGGCGCUGGGCAUGAUGCUCGGGCUGUGCUACCGGCUGAGUUGUGUGCUGUUCUUGUUGCCAUAUUGGUAUGUGUUUCUCUUGGACAAGACGUCGUGGAACAACCAUUCUUACCUGUAUGGUUUGGUGGCCUUCCAGCUGACGUUCAUGGAUGCUCACCACUACUGGUCUGUGGACGGCCUUCUGAAUGCCCGUAAGAGGAAUGCCCACGUGCCCCUUUGGAACUAUACAGUGCUGCGUGGCCAGAUCUUCAUUGUGUACUUCAUUGCUGGUGUGAAGAAACUGGAUGCAGACUGGGUGGAAGGCUACUCCAUGGAGCACCUGUCUCGGCACUGGCUCUUCAAUCCCUUCAAAUUGGUGUUGUCUGAAGAGCUGACCAGCCUCCUGGUGGUGCACUGGUGUGGGCUGCUGCUGGACCUCUCUGCUGGUUUCCUGCUCUUCUUUGAUGCCUCAAGAUCCAUUGGCCUCUUCUUUGUGUCCUACUUCCACUGCAUGAAUUCCCAGCUCUUCAGCAUUGGUAUGUUCCCUUAUGUCAUGCUGGCUACCAGUCCUCUCUUCUGCUCCCCUGAGUGGCCUCGGAAGCUGAUAUCCCACUGCCCCAAAAGGCUCCAGGAGCUGCUGCCUCUCAAGGCAGCCCCUCAGCCCAGUGCUUCCUGCAUCUCUAAGAGGAGCCGAGCCAAAGGAGCCCAGAAGCCAGGGCUGCGCCACCAGCUGGGAGCUGCCUUCACUCUGCUCUACCUCCUGGAGCAGCUCUUUCUACCCUAUUCCCAUUUCCUCACCCAGGGCUAUAACAACUGGACAAAUGGGCUGUAUGGCUACUCCUGGGACAUGAUGGUGCACUCCCGCUCCCACCAGCAUGUGAAGAUCACCUACCGUGAUGGCCUUACCGGCGAGCUGGGCUACCUCAACCCUGGGGUAUUCACACAGAGCCGGCGAUGGAAGGAUCACGCAGAUAUGCUGAAGCAGUAUGCCACUUGCCUGAGCCGCCUGCUUCCCAAGUACAAUGUCACUGAGCCCCAGAUCUACUUUGAUAUAUGGGUCUCCAUCAAUGACCGCUUCCAGCAGAGGCUUUUUGACCCUCGUGUGGACAUCGUUCAGGCCGACUGGUCCCCCUUCCAGCGCACAUCUUGGGUGCAGCCACUGUUGAUGGACCUGUCUCCCUGGAGAACCAAGCUGCAGGAAAUCAAGAGCAGCCUGGACAACCACACAGAGGUGGUCUUCAUUGCAGACUUCCCUGGGCUGCAUCUGGAGAAUUUUGUGAGUGAAGACCUGGGCAACACUAGCAUCCAGCUGCUGCAGGGGGAGGUGACUGUGGAGUUGGUGGCAGAAGAGAAGAACCAGACUCUUCGGGAGGGAGAAAAAAUGCAGCUGCCUGCUGGUGAGUACCAUAAGGUGCACACGACAUCACCUGGCCCUUCCUGCUACAUGUACGUUUAUGUCAACACUACAGAGCUUGCACUGGAGCAAGACCUGGCUUAUCUACAAGAAUUAAAGGAAAAGGUGGAAAACGGAAGUGAAACGGGGCCUCUACCUCCAGAGCUGCAGCCUCUUUUGGAAGGGGAAGUGAAAGGGGGCCCUGAGCCAACACCUCUGGUUCAGACUUUUCUUAGACGCCAGCAAAGGCUCCAGGAGAUCCAACGCCGGCGAAAUACCCCUUUACACGAGCGACUCUUUCGCUUCUUGCUGCGAAAACUAUACAUCUUUCGUCGUAGCUUCUUGAUGACUCGAAUUUCACUUAGAAAUCUGUUAUUAGGCCGCCCUCCCCUGGAGCAGCUGGCCCAAGAGGUGACUUAUGCAAACUGGCGCCCUUUUGAAACAGAUGGUGAAUCAAGUCCUUCAAACAGGGAGUCUUCAAAUUCCAAUCCUCCUGAGACAAAUCCUGAUCCUAUGCACUCAGAGUUCUGAGGGCACCCGGAUGUUUGAUGCAGAUAUGGGAGCAGCCAGUCACAGACACAGCAUCUAUGCAAUGGUUGCCCAGGCUGACCUUGAAGUUGAGAUUCUCCUGCGUGGCUGGGAUUGCAUAUGCCUGCUUUUUAAUAUCAAGUCCCAUCAAUUUUUUCCACUGAAAUUCAAUUGAGACCAGGAAAGACAUUUUAUUGUGUGGGUUGUGACCUAUAGGAUAGGCAGAAAAUGUCAUGCAAGCUAUUGAAACACUUGGUCUUACUUAGGGUUCCUUGAAUGGUUAAAGAGUUAGGGGGGUUGGGAGGGGGUGUUUUUUGACCAGUUGUUUCUAAUUCUUCAUACCUUAGUUCAGCUAUCUUCCUUAUGUUUUGGAAGACUUCUAAUUAAAGUACUCUACAUGGGCAAGGAUGCUGCCUUCAUGGCAGCAUACCACCACCUCCCUGACCUAUGGCAUAAAGUGUUCACUAUAAUUAUCCAUGUCCCAAGAAAAAUGAGGUCUAAUUGUUCUGAGAAUUGGCCUUUCAGCCAAUCAGCUUUAGAUUGAUCCUUCUUCUGAUCCCAGCAUAUGGAUUUUGUUCUCAACUUUAGGUUUUGGAAAGCCUACUGCAAGGUCCUGGGUUCAUCACCAAUAUGGGGAGAGGGGAAAAAAAUGACAGUGGGUGGCUGCAACAAGGACAUAUUUCAGUCUAGAAGGCAAUAUUGGACAAACCAGAUGGGGAGUCUAGACCUGUUGAUUCCCAGUUGCUCAAGAAGUAUGUAUACAAUUUUCAGGUUAUUUGUAGCCACAGCAAUUAAAGAACAGUAACACAGGGUAGAACCUAGCAUUUUAUUUAGAUCUUCAUUAAAGUGUUGGAAUUGAGAACCAGACAUACGUAAUAAACCUCCAAAAAUAGACCCUGGAAGGCACUUUCUGCUUCGGGCAAGCAGUCAUGGAGUAGCAUGUAAACAAGCUGGCUUCUCUGUACCACGCCAGCCAAGUCCGCUCUCUCCACGGUCAGCCGCACCAGCUCUGCCCUCCCUUCGCUUAACACCAGCCAGACCCCCUGUAGGUCUAACCCAAGGUUUUUCUGUAGGACACCUUGGCCUACCUGGGAAUGCUGGAAACAUGUUGUUAAAGGAAUCAUGGUGUUGAGGAAAAAAAAAAUCUUUUAAAAGCUGCCAUCUGAGGUGAUGGCUUCUCUGUACUUACACCAUACCUCAGAAUACAAUAAAUAAGCAAUUAGAAAAUGUUCAAGUAUGAAGGGAUUUCCUCCUCCCCGCCAAAAGCACUGCUCUCUGAAGGAAGCUGGUUUCUCUGUAGCUACACCAGCUGUUCAGAAAGCUCAUUGGACCUGGUUUUGAAAAUAAAACAAAGUUAAAACCCUG